rnacentral:rRNA from 1 species
CCCCAGUAACGGCGAGUGAAGAGGGAACAGCCCAAAUUUGUAAUCUGGCCCUUUUGGGGUCCGAGUUGUAAUCUCGAGAACUGUUUUCCGUGCCGGACCAUGUACAAGUCUGUUGGAAUAUAGCUUCAUAGAGGGUGAGAAUCCCGUACAUGACAUGGACCACCGGUGCUUUGUGAUACAGUCUCUAAGAGUCGAGUUGUUUGGGAAUGCAGCUCAAAAUGGGUGGUAAAUUCCAUCUAAGGCUAAAUAUUGGCGAGAGACCGAUAGCGAACAAGUACCGUGAGGGAAAGAUGAAAAGCACUUUGGAAAGAGAGUUAACAGUACGUGAAAUUGUUGAAAGGGAAACGCUUGAAGUCAGCCUUGUUCUUGGUUGUUCAGCCUUAGGGUGUAUUCAACUUUGAGCAGGCCAGCAUCAGUUUUGGGUGCCGGAUAAGGGCUUAGGAAAUGUGGCAGCUUAGGCUGUGUUAUAGUCCUUUGCUUGAUACGGUGCCUGGGACUGAGGAACGCAGCGAGCCUUUUGGCGGGUCCCCUCGGGGGCCUUCUCGCUUUGGAUGCUGGCGUAAUGGCUUUAAACGACCCGUCUUGAAACACGGACCAAGGAG